GUCAAUGUAGGGAGUGAUUGAGAAAGUUGGAGAAAGGGGUGUGAAGGGGUCAUUCCUAAACCAAAUAUCCCAGGAAUACACGUUAAAAACUCCUGUGGAGAGAAGACAUUGAGUUAACAUUUCUGGUUGACUGGUUUUCCUUUUUUUUUAAAAGAUGUUUUAUUUAGAGAUACAGCAUGGAAACAGGCCCUUCGGCCCAUCCUGCCCACACAGACCUACAUGCCCUAUCUAUACUUGUCCCAUCUGCCCACGUUCGGUCCACAUCCCUCUAAGCUUUUCCCUUCCAUGUAGCUGUCCAAUUGUCUCUUAAAUGCUUGUGAUAGUACAUUCCCCAACCAUCUUCAACUAAUAAUGCAUCGAUCUUAAGGUGGUGUUUUACAGAUGACAAUAAAAUGCAAACACGUUUCCAAUUCUGUCAAAAAAUUUCAUUUCAAACCAAAGAUUGUUAGCUGUCGGGCCCUGAAGGUUUGUAACACAUUGAUUUAUGACAUACAGCAUCAUAUUUUGGGUACAGAGUGGAGAAUUAAGUGGUUUCUAAAUAUUUUGCAUUAAUGCCUAAAGUUUCUGUUAAUAAAGUUUUGAUUGUACAACUG